CUUUGAUCUAAUCCAGCUCAGCUAGAACAGGCAGCUGCCACAGGGAUUGGGCUCACCCAACAGCAAGCCCUCAGGCAACUUGUGGGCCUACAUAGGCUGGGUGCCUGGAUCCUCAGCAGGCAGCCAGAGCCCUGCAGGGUUACUCUGAGAGCCAGCCUCUCCGGGAAGUGGAGUCCGUUGCCACAGAGCCACCUGCAAGUGACUGAUCAAUGUGGGCCUGGGGUGGCCUCUCAAGGCCAUUCUCAUCCCAGGGUACUCCACAGGCACCUGGAUGUGGAGCAAGGAAUCCAGCUUGAUAAAGAACAGCCAGACACCAGUUCCUCUCUCCAGAAGCAGCUAUGGUCUAUUGCAUCCAUUUCCAGAAAUACUCUGGGAACAAGCCAUUUGAAGAGCUGGGGUAAAGACCAGUAUGUGCAACAGUCCUGAGGUAGAAAGAGUUUCAUGUGUUCUAAUCUACAGUAGAGCUUCUCAAACUUUAAUGUGCAUACAAAUCACCUGGCGAUCUUGUAGAAAUCCUGAUUCUGUUUCAGUAUGUCUGGGACCUGAGAUUUCUAAUAACCUCCAGGUAAUGCUGAGGCUGCUUAUGCAGAGAUUUCACUUAAGAGUAGUAAAGUCCUAGGGGACCAUUAGAGGCCAGUCUGGCCAGAAUGUCAUGAGAGAGAGGAAAAUGGGUCAAGAUGGGGUUGGAGAGGUGGUGGGGCAUGGGGUACAAUAAGAAGCUUGGAUAUUAUUCUAAGUGUAACAGGAACCCGCUGAAGGAUUUUAUGCAGACUAGGAAUGGAAGUGCCACUACAUGAUCUAAUUUUUGUUUCUAAAUUGCUCUAGCUGCUGUUUGGGUAGGCAAAGUGACAGUGGGGAGACCCAUCCAGAGGCCAUUGUACACAUGUCAUCCAGAGAUGAUGGUGACUGGACCAGUGUGGUGACCGAAAAGAUGGAUAGAAGGAAGCAGACUCCAGAUGCAUUUUGAAGGUGAAGCUGAAAGAACCUCCCAACAACAGAUUGGAUACGCGGAGUGAAGGGAAGGGAGGAAUCAAGGAUGCCUCUUGGGGUUUUGUCUCAAGCAACUGAGUGGCUGUGUUGCCAUUUACUGAGAUGGAAGGAGGAGCAGUGAAGGGAGGAGAAGAGUGUGAGGAGCCUGAGCUUCACAAAAUGGAGAUGUCAAGGAGAUAGAUCUGUGAGCCUGGUGCUCAGAGGAGGGUCUUGGCUUGAGAUAAAAACCGGGACAUGUCAAAAUCAACAGUUCUUAAGGCUGUGGGAAUGGAAGACCCCAGCUAGGAAAGGGUGUGGAUAGAGGAGAGCAGAAGCUCUAGGACAAACCCUGAAGGACACUAAUGUUCAGAGACUGGGUAGAAAGAAUGAGCAGCCAGAGGCGAGAGGCGAGAGACAGCAGGCAUCCACUGUCAUCAGAGGUUUGAAAUAGGAAAGGCUCGGCAGGUCUAAGGAUGAAAAGCACUGCAUUUUACCUUUUUCUCUUCUGGCAUUCAUGGAAUCACUUUAAAAGAGCAAAGAAGGGCAG
rnacentral:lncRNA from 1 species